rnacentral:lncRNA from 1 species
AAUUUUCUUUUUGAAUAUCAAAAAUUUUUGUUUGAAUCCUAAAUUUAUAAAUUGCCACAAAUACCACAAAUACCUAAAAAUAUAAUUUUUUAAAAAAAAAAUAGUUUCAAACAAAAUUUUUGGUUAACCCUAGGGGUAUAUUGUUUAGGGUUUAGUAUUAAGGAAAAUUGCCACAAAUACCACAUUCAUAUAUUAAGGGAAAUUGCCACAAAUAUUUAUAUUGUUUAAAAAUAUUUAUAUUUAAAAAAAUUAUAUUGUUUAGGGUUUAGUAUUAAGGGAAAUUGCCACAAAUACCACAUUCAUAUAUUUAUUAGAAUCCUAAAUUUCAUAUUCCAAAAACUCUACCCCAUCCCUCAACUCUAAACCCUAAGUCUAUAUUAGUUAACCCUAGGGGUAUAAGUGUC